CCUACGGGAGGCAGCAGUGGGGAAUAUUGCACAAUGGGCGCAAGCCUGAUGCAGCCAUGCCGCGUGUGUGAAGAAGGCCUUCGGGUUGUAAAGCACUUUCAGCGGGGAGGAAGGCGGUGAGGUUAAUAACCUCAUCGAUUGACGUUACCCGCAGAAGAAGCACCGGCUAACUCCGUGCCAGCAGCCGCGGUAAUACGGAGGGUGCAAGCGUUAAUCGGAAUUACUGGGCGUAAAGCGCACGCAGGCGGUCUGUCAAGUCGGAUGUGAAAUCCCCGGGCUCAACCUGGGAACUGCAUUCGAAACUGGCAGGCUAGAGUCUUGUAGAGGGGGGUAGAAUUCCAGGUGUAGCUGUGAAAUGCGUAGAGAUCUGGAGGAAUACCGGUGGCGAAGGCGGCCCCCUGGACAAAGACUGACGCUCAGGUGCGAAAGCGUGGGGAGCAAACAGGAUUAGAUACCCUAGUAGUC
rnacentral:rRNA from 1 species